rnacentral:rRNA from 1 species
GAUGAACGCUGGCGGCGUGCCUAAUACAUGCAAGUCGAGCGAACGGACGAGAAGCUUGCUUCUCUGAUGUUAGCGGCGGACGGGUGAGUAACACGUGGAUAACCUACCUAUAAGACUGGGAUAACUUCGGGAAACCGGAGCUAAUACCGGAUAAUAUUUUGAACCGCAUGGUUCAAAAGUGAAAGACGGUCUUGCUGUCACUUAUAGAUGGAUCCGCGCUGCAUUAGCUAGUUGGUAAGGUAACGGCUUACCAAGGCAACGAUGCAUAGCCGACCUGAGGGGGUGAUCGGCCACACUGGAACUGAGACACGGUCCAGACUCCUACGGGAGGCAGCAGUAGGGAAUCUUCCGCAAUGGGCGAAAGCCUGACGGAGCAACGCCGCGUGAGUGAUGAAGGUCUUCGGGUCGUAAAACUCUGUUAUUAGGGAAGAACAUAUGUGUAAGUAACUGUGCACAUCUUGACGGUACCUAAUCAGAAAGCCACGGCUAACUACGUG